GACGAACGCUGGCGGCGUGCUUAACACAUGCAAGUCGAGCGGAAAGGCCCCUUCGGGGGUACUCGAGCGGCGAACGGGUGAGUAACACGUGAGUAAUCUGCCCUUCACUUUGGGAUAACCCCCGGAAACGGGUGCUAAUACCGGAUACGACCGGCAACCGCAUGGUGUGUUGGUGGAAACUUUUUGGGUGGGGGAUGUGCUCGCGGCCUAUCAGCUUGUUGGUGGGGUAAUGGCCUACCAAGGCUUUGACGGGUAGCCGGCCUGAGAGGGUGACCGGCCACACUGGGACUGAGACACGGCCCAGACUCCUACGGGAGGCAGCAGUGGGGAAUAUUGGACAAUGGGCGGAAGCCUGAUCCAGCAACGCCGCGUGAGGGAUGACGGCCUUCGGGUUGUAAACCUCUUUCAGCACCGACGAAGCGCAAGUGACGGUAGGUGCAGAAGAAGGACCGGCCAACUACGUGCCAGCCGCCGCGGUAACAC
rnacentral:rRNA from 1 species